CACCAAGGCUCCCCCGGAGCAAGGCCGAAAAGGCGAUUUGGCACGGAGAGGGUUAGCUUUGAGCAGGAAGGGUCGCUUGAGCACUCUUUUUCGCAGCAAGUGGGGGUCUAG
rnacentral:ribozyme from 1 species